rnacentral:rRNA from 1 species
UACGUAGGGUGCAAGCGUUAAUCGGAAUUACUGGGCGUAAAGCGUGCGCAGGCGGUUUUGUAAGUCUGUCGUGAAAUCCCCGGGCUUAACCUGGGAAUUGCGAUGGAGACUGCAAGGCUGGAGUCUGGCAGAGGGGGGUAGAAUUCCACGUGUAGCAGUGAAAUGCGUAGAGAUGUGGAGGAACACCGAUGGCGAAGGCAGCCCCCUGGGUCAAGAUUGACGCUCAUGCGCGAAAGCGUGGGGAGCAAACAGG